CACGUAGGGGGCGAGCGUUGUCCGGAUUUAUUGGGCGUAAAGAGCUCGUAGGCGGCUCAGUAAGUCAGGUGUGAAAACUCCAGGCUCAACCUGGAGACGCCACUUGAUACUGCUGUGGCUAGAGUCCGGUAGGGGAGCAUGGAAUUCCUGGUGUAGCGGUGAAAUGCGCAGAUAUCAGGAGGAACACCGGUGGCGAAGGCGGGUCUCUGGGCCGUAACUGACGCUGAGGAGCGAAAGCAUGGGGAGCGAACAGG
rnacentral:rRNA from 1 species